rnacentral:rRNA from 1 species
UACGUAGGUGGCAAGCGUUGUCCGGAUUUACUGGGCGUAAAGAGCGCGCAGGCGGUCGUUCAAGUCGCGUGUGAAAGCCCCCGGCUCAACUGGGGAGGGUCACGCGAUACUGAUCGACUCGAAGGCAGGAGAGGGAAGUGGAAUUCCCGGUGUAGUGGUGAAAUGCGUAGAGAUCCGGAGGAACCCCAGAGGCGAAGGCGGCCCCCUGGCUCGUACCUGACGCUCAGCCACGAAAGCAUGGGGAGCGAACGGG